rnacentral:misc_RNA from 1 species
ACAUCUCAACUCUCAUGGUUUUCCAUGAUGAGCUUGGAACUUUGGAGGUCUUGCUGGCUUGUUUUCAGCUCCUCUUAAAUCUAUCAGCUUCCCAGUGUUUGGCAGCACCACAGGUGUGAUAAAUAUCUGCACUUGUGGUUGUUUGCCAGAUGUGCCCUCUCUUCGUGAAGGGCCUGCUGGAGCUUAUAGACGUCUCUCCUCGGUGGAGACAGCUGUUUGAAGU